rnacentral:tRNA from 1 species
GAGCGGAAAACGAAAACAUAUAUCGUGAACGGUUUCGGCCCGUUUUUUGGCGUUUAAGGUGUGGACGCCUCCGUUGA